rnacentral:rRNA from 1 species
UACAGAGGUCUCAAGCGUUGUUCGGAUUCAUUGGGCGUAAAGGGUGUGUAGGUGGCGCGCUAAGUCGGGUGUGAAAUUUCGGAGCUUAACUCCGAAACUGCAUUCGAUACUGGCGUGCUUGAGGACUGGAGAGGAGUACUGGAAUUCAUGGUGUAGCAGUGAAAUGCGUAGAGAUCAUGAGGAAGACCAGUGGCGAAGGCGGGUCAUCUGGACAGUUGACUGACGCUGAGGCACGAAGGCCAGGGGAGCAAACGGG